rnacentral:rRNA from 1 species
UACGGAGGGUGCAAGCGUUGUCCGGAAUCACUGGGCGUAAAGGGCGCGUAGGCGGCCUGAUAAGUAGGGGGUGAAAUCCUGCGGCUUAACCGCAGGGCUGCCUUCUAAACUGUCAGGCUAGAGCACAGUAGAGGCAGGUGGAAUUCCCGGUGUAGCGGUGGAAUGCGUAGAGAUCGGGAAGAACAUCAGUGGCGAAGGCGGCCUGCUGGGCUGUUGCUGACGCUGAGGAGCGAAAGCGUGGGGAGCGAACAGG